ensembl:lncRNA
AUCUGAUACAGCCAAUUCCUAGAGCUUAGAUUAAGGGCUACUUAUGGAAACUGCUGAAUUAAGAUGAUACAUUUUUUGAGUUAAAUGUCCUUUUAAAAACAGUGUAUAGUUUUCCUGUGGAAAAUCCAAGCUAACUAAGCAAAUCAACCUAAGUAAAGGACAUUGCCAGGUCCUCUGCCCCCCUUCCUGUUUUGUUAAGAGGGGCUCCUGCGAUGCCCCUCUUACUGGGAUCAGGGCACCCAACUAGCAGUUGUGGGACAGGCUGGCCUGCAGCCUGGGAGAGGACUAGGGCCGCAAAGUCCCACCCAGACAAUGGCAGCGCCAGGGGGUCAAUAGAGUCAACUUCCUUUCUUGGGAAUCCUGACUGGAAAAGUCAGACCAGCUAGUGGAUGCCGGAGCCUAAGUUGAAGACAGACUCGACGUGAACCGCCACGGACUCCUUAGAGCCCCCGGAGUAGGGACUCAGCCCCCUUUGGCCUGACCCCACCGGGAGAGGCCGGCCCUGCCCGCCCCCUUGUCCCUCUAGGGAGCUGCUGCGCAUGCGUCAGUCGGCCCGCUCGCCUCCCGCGUCCAGGGGGCGCAACCCCAGGUCCCUAACUGCAGAGUAGACCGCGGCAGUGCGCGCCCCGCGCCCAGCCCGGCGCAGCCCCGACCCAACCGGGGCGGAGGCCACGCUGCCCCUCGCGGAGUCAGACCCGGGGGACCCGGGGCCAACGGGCCGGACCUCCACUAGCCUCGACCUUCUCCGGGGAGCCGCAAAGAGUCUCCGGGAAUGGAGCCGGUCCGUGUUCCCGCCCUGCGCUCGCUCGCGACAACUCAAACCCGUCGACGCGCCGCGGAGCCCCGGGCUGCGGUCCACAGCCACUGCUCAGCGCAGCCCCCAGGCCCAACCCCCGCCCCCUCGCGCCGGGUCCCGACCUCCCCGGGGCUCCGGCGCCCCUCCCCGGGCCGCGGCGGGGUCUCCACCUCUCGCCCGCGGGGCCGGCUUUGGACGCGUUUUUGUUUGUUUGCUCUGCCAGUGUUGAUAAGUGCAAGCCUUCCGUUUGUCACCUCAUUUCAGGGAACUGAUCCCUUCUUAAGUUGUGAUAAAAUACUCAGAUACUGUGAAUUUAAAGGAACAUUCAUGUACUUAAAUUUUUUGAGAAAAAUGUAAUAUUUAUUAGAC